ACGGGAGGCAGCAGUGGGGAAUAUUGCACAAUGGGGGAAACCCUGAUGCAGCGACGCCGCGUGAGUGAAGAAGUAUUUCGGUAUGUAAAGCUCUAUCAGUAGGGAAGAAAAUGACGGUACCUAACUAAGAAGCCCCGGCUAACUACGUGCCAGCAGCCGCGGUAGUACGUAGGGGGCAAGCGUUAUCCGGAUUUACUGGGUGUAAAGGGAGCGUAGGCGGCGCUGCAAGUCAGAUGUGAAACCCCGGGGCUUAACCCCGGGACUGCAUUUGAAACUGCGGUGCUAGAGUGCGGGAGAGGUAAGCGGAAUUCCUAGUGUAGCGGUGAAAUGCGUAGAUAUUAGGAAGAACACCAGUGGCGAAGGCGGCUUACUGGACCGUAACUGACGCUGAGGCUCGAAAGCGUGGGGAGCAAACAGGAUUAGAUACCCUGGUA
rnacentral:rRNA from 1 species